GCAGGCUGUUGUUGUAGGCUGGUUUUGGAAAUAGUGUAUUUUCUCUUCGGGGCAAAUUAUUUAUAAAAGAAAUGGCAUUUCUGAGACAACUUGGUAGCAGUGGAGUUUAUUUCAAGACUCUCAGGGGUUUGCCUAGAGCAUCUCUACUAGGAAGACAUCCAAUCUUGAUCUGAAAACAUCAAGAGACAGAGAAUCCAACUCUUCUUUUGCAGAGAUUUUAUGCUCAUUAAAAUCUGAGAACUAUGGCAAGGAUUUCAGCUUGAUAGGCAGAAAGUAUCUCAUUCAUCCCAAAGGUAAGUGUAGUCUACAUGUCUAAGCCAGCAUUAUGAUUUUUUUUUUUUUUUAAGCAAAAUCACAGCUACUCUUUGAAGGACUGUCAUUGUGCAAUCAUCAAGGCAUUCUUCAUGCUGGCAAGAAAAGACACAAAGCAAACUGAUCUGACACAUUUUUAAAAGGUUUUCUUUGUUUUAAGAGAUGUAGAUUGAAAGAACAGACCUGAAAC